rnacentral:rRNA from 1 species
CCUGCGGAAGGAUCAUUACUGUGAUUUAGUACUACACUGCGUGAGCGGAACGAAAACAACAACACCUAAAAUGUGGAAUAUAGCAUAUAGUCGACAAGAGAAAUCUACGAAAAACAAACAAAACUUUCAACAACGGAUCUCUUGGUUCUCGCAUCGAUGAAGAGCGCAGCGAAAUGCGAUACCUAGUGUGAAUUGCAGCCAUCGUGAAUCAUCGAGUUCUUGAACGCACAUUGCGCCCCUCGGCAUUCCGGGGGGCAUGCCUGUUUGAGCGUCGUUUCCAUCUUGCGCGUGCGCAGAGUUGGGGGAGCGGAGCGGACGACGUGUAAAGAGCGUCGGAGCUGCGACUCGCCUGAAAGGGAGCGAAGCUGGCCGAGCGAACUAGACUUUUUUUCAGGGACGCUUGGCGGCCGAGAGCGAGUGUUGCGAGACAACAAAAAGCUCGACCUCAAAUCAGGUAGGAAUACCCGCUGAACUUAAGCAUAUCA